ACCCUUUCUCUAUCUAACUUCCACGUUUGUUUACCCUUUCUCUAUCUAACUUCCAAGGUUGUUUCUCUAUCUAACUUCCAAGUUUGUUUACCCUUUCUCUAUCUAACUUCCAAGUUUGUUUACCCUUUCUCUAUCUAACUUCCACGUUUGUUUACCCUUUCUCUAUCUAACUUCCAAGUUAUUUACCCUUUCUCUAUCUAACUUCCAAGUUUGUUUACCCUUUCUCUAUCUAACUUCCAAGUUUGUUUACCCUUUCUCUAUCUAACUUCCACGUUUGUUUACCCUUUCUCUAUCUAACUUCCACGUUUAUUUACCCUUUCUCUAUCUAACUUCCAAGUUUGUUUACCCUUUCUCUAUCUAACUUCCAAGUUUGUUUACCCUUUCUCUAUCUAACUUCCAAGUUGUUUACCCUUUCUCUAUCUAACUUCCAAGUUUGUUUACCCUUUCUCUAUCUAACUUCCAAGUUUGUUUACCCUUUCUCUAUCUAACUUCCAAGUUUGUUUACCCUUUCUCUAUCUAACUUCCAAUUUGUUUACCCUUUCUCUAUCUAACUUCCAAGUUGUUUACCCUUUCUCUAUCUAACUUCCAAGUUUGUUUACCCUUUCUCUAUCUAACUUCCAAGUUUGUUUACCCUUUCUCUAUCUAACUUCCAAGUUUGUUUACCCUUUCUCUAUCUAACUUCCAAUUUGUUUACCCUUUCUCUAUCUAACUUCCAAUUUGUUUACCCUUUCUCUAUCUAACUUCCAAGUUGUUUACCCUUUCUCUAUCUAACUUCCAUGUUUGUUUACCCUUUCUCUAUCUAACUUCCAAGUUUGUUUACCCUUUCUCUAUCUAACUUCCAAGUUGUUUACCCUUUCUCUAUCUAACUUCCAAGUUUGUUUACCCUUUCUCUAUCUAACUUCCAAGUUUGUUUACCCUUUCUCUAUCUAACUUCCAAGUUUGUUUACCCUUUCUCUAUCUAACUUCCAAGUUUGUUUACCCUUUCUCUAUCUAACUUCCAAGUUUGUUUACCCUUUCUCUAUCUAACUUCCACGUUUGUUUACCCUUUCUCUAUCUAACUUCCAAGUUUGUUUACCCUUUCUCUAUCUAACUUCCAAGGUUGUUUACCCUUUCUCUAUCUAACUUCCAAGUUUGUUUACCCUUUCUCUAUCUAACUUCCAAGUUUGUUUACCCUUUCUCUAUCUAACUUCCAAGUUUGUUUACCCUUUCUCUAUCUAACUUCCAAGUUGUUUACCCUUUCUCUAUCUAACUUCCAUGUUUGUUUACCCUUUCUCUAUCUAACUUCCAAGUUUGUUUACCCUUUCUCUAUCUAACUUCCAAGUUGUUUACCCUUUCUAUAUCUAACUUCCAAGUUGUUUACCCUUUCUCUAUCUAACUUCCACGUUUGUUUACCCUUUCUCUAUUUAACUUCAAAGUUUGUUUACCCUUUCUCUAUCUAACUUCCACGUUUGUUUACCCUUUCUCUAACUUCCAAGUUUGUUUACCCUUUCUCUAUCUAACUUCCAAGUUUGUUUACCCUUUCUCUAUCUAACUUCCAAGUUUGUUUACCCUUUCUCUAUCUAACUUCCAAGUUUGUUUACCCUUUCUCUAUCUAACAAGUUUGUUUACCCUUUCUCUAUCUAACUUCCAAGUUUGUUUACCCUUUCUCUAUCUAACUUCCAAGUUU